ensembl:lncRNA
CUAACCUCGUCACCCAACUUGUUUACUCGCUUACCGACUUGCUGCGGGCGAGUGGAAGGAAUAAUAACACAGCCCCUGUUCCCUCCGCCAUCCCUCCAAGGAUUGAUAAAGCAGCUCUGGACACAAUGCAUGUGUUUAGGAACAGAAGCAGCUCUGAAAACGCUCCCAGCCUAUAAAAGCAGCAAGUAUCCUUGCAGCCCAGCAUGCUAAUUAGUUUGAGGUUGGCUGACUUCACACAAGACAUAUGGCACAUUAGGAUUAAAUAUGCAUGGCUUGGGCUCACUCUUACCUCACAGUCUUUCAGAACCAAGACACCUGUUUGCUUGGUGGCCGCAAGCAAAUGAGGCCGGG